rnacentral:lncRNA from 1 species
CAAGUUGUUGUCCUGUGAUUGGAGAUGAGGAUUUAGCACCAAAGGCUCAACACUAUGUGGAUUGGACUAGUCUGUCUUACGACACUGUGCUUCUUCUGUUCACUCGGUUGAACUACCGAGACAGAGCUAGCUUAGCAUCCACCUGCAGGACAUGGAGAAGCCUUGGCGCUUCCUCUUGUCUCUGGAGUUCAUUAGAUCUCCGUCCCCACAAGUUUGAUCUCUCAAUGGCCUCUUCUCUCGCAGCUAGGUGUGUUAACCUUCACAAGGUUCGCUUCAGGGGCCUUGACUCUGCUGACGCAAUAGUCAACCUCAGAGCGAGGAACCUGAAGGAGAUAAGCGGCGACUAUUGCAGGAAGAUAACAGAUGCUACAUUGUCUAUGAUCGCUGCGCGCCAUGAGGCUCUUGAGAGCCUCCAGCUUGGACCAGACUUCUGCGAGAGGAUCACUAGCGACGCUGUUAAAGUCAUUGCCUUCUGCUGUCCGAAGCUUAGAAAGCUCAGGCUUUCUGGUAUGAGAGAUGUUAACUCCGAGGCUAUUGAGUCUUUGGCUAAACACUGUCCUCAGCUCAGUGAUGUUGGAUUCUUGGAUUGUCUGAACAUUAAUGAGGAAGCAUUGGGGAAAGUGGUCUCUCUUCGCUACCUCUCUGUUGCAGGGACGAUAAGCAUGAACUGGAGAGUUGCAGCAGAGAGCUGGGAGAAGCUUCCGAGGCUAACAGCUCUGGAUGCUUCUAGAACUAGCGUUGACCAUGUAGCGGUUUCAAGGCUGUUUAAAUCGUCUCAGAGCUUGAGAGUUGUGUGUGCUUUGAACUGCCCUUUGCUUGAACACGAUGUGAACUUCAAAGGAAAGCUCCUGAUUGCUAAAUUCGACGAUAACUCAAAGACGCCAAAGGAUAUGUUCUCUCACUGGAGAGAUCUGAUAAGCAAUGAGGAAACAAUGCGUUGGAUUGAAUGGAUCAUCUCUCAUUCCCUUCUACGAAUGGCAGAGAGCAACUCUCAAGCAUUAAACAACUUCUGGCUUAACCAUGGAGCUAAGCUGCUUCUCAGGCUAAUGGAAAGCUCGCAAGAAGAUGUACAAGAGAGAGCAGCCACAGGACUCGCCACUUUCAUCGUUGUGGACGAUGAGAACGCGAGCAUAGACUGCGGAAGAGCAGAAGCGGUUAUGAGAGACGGAGGCAUCAAGCUUCUUCUGAAACUAGCCAAGUCUUGGCGAGAAGGUCUUCAGUCAGAAGCUGCGAAGGCUAUUGCGAACUUGUCGGUGAACGCUAACGUUGCAAAGGCUGUUGCUGAGGAAGGAGGGAUCGAUGUGCUCGCUGGUUUGGCGAAGUCUAUGAAUAGACUUGUGGCUGAGGAAGCUGCUGGUGGACUGUGGAAUCUCUCUGUUGGAGAAGAGCACAAGGUACUAAUAAAGAGUUGUUUAAAACACACACAUGAAUGAACUUUUUGACUCUCUAACUAACAUUGUUGUUUAUUUAUUUUUUUAUAAUUUAGAAUCAAAUUGCUAAAGCUGGAGGUGUGAAUGCAUUAGUGAAGCUUAUAUUUAGAUGGCCAAAUGGCUGUGAUGGAGUUCUGGUACGCUCUUGCCACCUUAAUGGCCUCACAACUUUUGGCUAAGUACUAUCAAAACUAGUACUUGGUUGGUUACACACAUAUUUAUAUUCUACUCUUCUUUGUCUUGAUUAGGAGCGUGCUGCUGGGGCAUUAGCUAACUUAGCAGCAGAUGAUAAAUGUAGCACGGAAGUUGCAAGAGCAGGAGGUGUGCAUGCGUUAGUGAUGUUGGCUCGAAACUGCAAGUAUGAAGGAGCACAAGAACAGGUACUUCCUUGUUCUGAAAUGCACAUGUUAUUGUCUGAGUAAUGGAUGCUAGUGAUUGUCUGAAUUGGGUUUGUGACAAAUUGUCUUUUUGUUUCAGGCGGCUCGUGCUUUGGCUAACUUGGCUGCUCAUGGUGAUAGCAACAACAACAAUGCUGCUGUGGGACAAGAGGCUGGUGCCUUAGAAGCUCUUGUUCAGCUGACGAAAUCGCCUCAUGAAGGUGUUCAACAAGAAGCUGCUGGUGCUCUCUGGAAUUUGUCAUUUGAUGACAAGAAUAGAGAAUCCAUUGCUGCAUUUGGUGGUGUUGAAGCCUUGGUAACAUGUUUCCUUUUAUUUUCAUUAAUGUGUGUUCACCUUACAUCUUCAGGAAACUUAUCACUUUGUUUAUUGAUUAUAUAUAUUAGGUGGCACUCGCCAAGUCCUGUUCAGAUGCAUCCACAGGUCUGCAAGAGAGAGCAGCUGGCGCUCUUUGGGGUCUCUCAGUCUCAGAAGCAAACAGGUUCAACCAUUUGAAAUUUUUUAUUAAUUUAAAAGUGAUUUACCUAACACCUUAAUGAUAACUCUUUCGUCUUUCUAUCAGCAUUGCAAUUGGACAAGAAGGUGGUAUACCACCUCUAAUUGCUCUUGCAGGAUCUGAAGCUGAGGUAAAAAAAAACAUUUUUGUUUCCUCAUAAGCUUGUCAUGUCCUCUGGUCUUUUGUGUUAUAAUCUAAUCCAUCUUUUUACCUUUUUUUUCCAAGGAUGUACAUGAAACUGCUGCAGGAGCUCUCUGGAACCUUGCUUUCAACCCUGGUAAUGCUCUCCGCAUUGUGGCUGAAGGAGGAGUUACAGCGCUUGUUCACCUCUGUUCCUCUUCUGUUUCCAAAAUGGCUCGUUUCAUGGCAGCAUUGGCAUUAGCAUACAUGUUUGAUGGAAGGUACUCAAAAGCUUCAUAUCCACAUUCAAGAUUACAUUUCUCUCUUUUGGUGCCUAAGCCUUAUCUUAUCUACACAGGAUGGAUGAAUAUGCGAUGAUAGGGACUUCAUCUGAAAGUGCAUCUAAAAGUGUUAGCUUAGCUGGUGCCAGAAUAAAGGCUCUUAAACACAUUGAGAGCUUCGUUACAACUUUCAUGGAACCUCAAGUCUUUGCAGCUGCUGCUUUAUCAUCAGCUCCGUCUAUGUUAGCACAAGUCUCAGAGAAAGUUAGAAUCCCGGAAGCUGGCCACUUGAGAUGCAGCGGCUCCGAGAUUGGAAGGUUUGUUACAAUGCUGCGGAACCCUUCUCCUAUACUCAAAGCAUGUGCAGCUUUUGCGCUUGUCCAGGUACUUAUAUAAGUGUGUGGUUUUAAAACCAGUUGCAGUUUGGUACUAACUUGUGAAAGUGCAGUUUACUAUACCUGGAGGUAGACAUGCAAUGCAUCAUGCCAGCUUGAUGCAGAACGCUGGAGAAGCGAGGAUCUUGCGUUCUGCAGCUGCGGCUGCGAACAUGCCUCGUGAGGCUAAGAUAUUUGCGAAGAUUGUGCUUAGGAAUCUGGAGCAUCAUCACCAGGCAGAAUGUUCAAAAGGAAAGAAAAGUGUCAUCUUAUAAUAGGAUUUGAUGAGGCUUUUGUUUUAUUAGCAUAUUUGUUUUAGUGAAUAGAAGAAUGUAUCUCUCCAAAACAUAUACAUGUCAAGAGAAAGGCUUAUCGCUGCAAAACACAAAAAAACCAUCAAAGACUUUUGGGUCUCAGAAGAUGUGUUUGGACAAAGGAAGGUGUUGUGAUACUAUAUAGUCUGUGGACUUAUUAUGUUUAUUUAUCUCCUUCUGAGGUAUUUUUCUGUAAUAAAAGACCUUAGGGAUUGUUAUGAUUGGUGUUCUUUUUCCCAUUUGUGUAGGCUCUGUUCAUUUCUUGUGACAAAUCUUAGCUUUUUUAUUCAUAAAAUACAAACUAAUCAUUUGUAUUUCUUCUUAUGUCAGAUACUGUGAGAUGAUUAAGUAAAAUCUCAUCAAUCUCCUUAUAUGAUAGACUCAGCAUGCCUUAGUAUCCUUCUUGUUACUAGGAAGCUCUGCUUCUCUUUUGGUAUUGGUGUUGAUAGGCUCUCUCCUCCACCUAAUAGGCUAGUCCAAGCCCAUUCUUGGGUGAUAAGAUGGCUCAGUAUGCACUUGUAAGGUCUCCUUGGUGCGUCUUCAGGCUGUGCUACAAGAAUGUUGCAAUCUCUGGCUUUCCAAUCCUUGAGAAAAGAUGCAUAAGAUACUCAACCAAAAACAGUGCAGCUUCAUCCGCAUACUUAUCCCCUGAAACCUAUUAAUACAGACAUAUAGGGGGUUAUUGGUUGGGUUCAAAAUACUUAUGUAACUGUGUUGUCGUAUAUAACGUUAUUCAAUAAAAAAAGAUGGCGACAUAAUGGGGGUGAUUGGUUGGGCUUUAUCUCCGUUUUUUUUUUUGGGUCAAUUGAAGCUACAUAUACUAAUUUAUCAUAAAAAUAAAACUUCAAAAUAUUCAAAGAACAUUUGUAAUAUUAUGGAAAAAAAAUUAUUUACUUUACAAAAAUUGGGAAGAAAAGAGGAGUGGUAAUUGGUAAUAUAUAAUGUACCGUGCAAAGGAGGUGAUUGAUGCUCUUUUACAAUCUCAAUUUUGCCUAUAUGAGCUUUCUCUCUUCUCGUUUCAACACCGUCUCUCUCUCUCUCUUCACCUUCAUUCCCCAAUUCCUCAGAUUCUUCCUUCUCUGCCGCUGAGAAUAAAUUCACACAAAGUUCCUCUCUUUUGCCCCAAAGGUGAUUACUUUAACGUGUUUUGAUUAUACCCUUUUGCGUAUUUGAUGUGUUGGAGAGUUUUUCUCUGCGCUCUUUGCUUGAAUUCUCUCCGACCCUCAUCACUCUUUCACCUUUUGAAUCCAUUGGAGUUUCUCUGUAUUGAAUUGGAACCGAAAGGCCAGAGCUUUUGCUUGUCUUAGUCCUUAUCUCUUCGAGGGUUUUUGUCGAGCAUUGGUUUGGUUUCUAUUUGGGAUCUAAAUUUGAGUCCUUUUGAUCUCUUCCUUGACAGGUCUUGUAGGAUCUCUAUGAUGAUGAUGAUGCUUUGAUGUUUGUAGCUUCAAUAGGAUCCGGUCAAGACAUGAGUCGCAGGGUGCGUCAGAGAGUGGAGGAGAAUGGAUUAGUUUCACCAAGUUGUUGUCCUGUGAUUGGAGAUGAGGAUUUAGCACCAAAGGCUCAACACUAUGUGGAUUGGACUAGUCUGUCUUACGACACUGUGCUUCUUCUGUUCACUCGGUUGAACUACCGAGACAGAGCUAGCUUAGCAUCCACCUGCAGGACAUGGAGAAGCCUUGGCGCUUCCUCUUGUCUCUGGAGUUCAUUAGAUCUCCGUCCCCACAAGUUUGAUCUCUCAAUGGCCUCUUCUCUCGCAGCUAGGUGUGUUAACCUUCACAAGGUUCGCUUCAGGGGCCUUGACUC